GAUGAACGCUGGCGGCGUGCCUAGUACAUGCAAGUCGAGCGAACAGACGAGGAGCUUGCUCCUCUGACGUUAGCGGCGGACGGGUGAGUAACACGUGGAUAACCUACCUAUAAGACUGGGAUAACUUCGGGAAACCGGAGCUAAUACCGGAUAAUAUAUUGAACCGCAUGGUUCAAUAGUGAAAGACGGUUUUGCUGUCACUUAUAGAUGGAUCCGCGCCGCAUUAGCUAGUUGGUAAGGUAACGGCUUACCAAGGCAACGAUGCGUAGCCGACCGGUGAGGGUGAUCGCCCACACUGGAACUGAGACACGGUCCAGACUCCUACGGGAGGCAGCAGUAGGGAAUCUUCCGCAAUGGGCGAAAGCUUGACGGAGCAACGCCGCGUGAGUGAUGAAGGUCUUCGGAUCGUAAAACUCUGUUAUUAGGGAAGAACAAAUGUGUAAGUAACUAUGCACGUCUUGACGGUACCUAAUCAGAAAGCCACGGCUAACUACGUG
rnacentral:rRNA from 1 species